UCCGUGUGGAAAAAAACUAUUAUAGCCACUUGAUAGAUUACAAUAUAUAUGGCUCAUGUUUGAUAGAUAGCGAGAAAUCUGUUUCAUGUUUGUGCAAUAUACAGAGGAGGAUAAAAAUUCCAAAAAGUAAUAAACCAUAGGAGUACAGCGACCAGGAUGUUUCCUUGUAAAAAACUUCAAGAUUCUGGCUGCUGCUACAAUCAAUACAAGGAUACCAAGAGCCAAGAAUGUGUCGAAUGUCUUCCCGGGUAUAUUGGGCUUAACUGUUCAGAAAAGUGUACAGCAGGAUUUUACGGAAGAUUGUGUCAAAAGACGUGUUCUUGUGCUGCCCGGGAUUGUAAUUAUGUAACAGGGUGCAUCAACAGUAUGUUUCAUUUCUUCUUUUCUUUCAUGAAACACCCAUGUCCAUCUAUCUAUUCAUUCUCUAAUCUUAAAUCAAUUACGCAUCAGCAGGUGACUUGGGAGUUUUCAGUGCAUUGAUUCCUACGCUACCGUCAUCAGUUGAAAGUUCACAAACAGAUGCUGAACGCCUAGUUACUACCCCCGCUAUAAUUCUCAGUGAAGAC